GACCGCUGCACUCCGCCCAACAGCAUCCUCUGUUUCCACACUAUGUUUUCCAUCCCGACGUUACUGUUUACACUCACCGAGUGUGUGUUGACGGAGGAGACUCGCCUCUUUGUGAAGUCGGGACGAAUGUCAGAAGGUGCUGGGUUCACGCCAAGAAGAUUCACAUGAUCUGAAGGAAAGAGAUAUGAAAACGCAUGGACGUUUGAUUCCCACACCUAUUAGGCCAUCCUCAUCAAAUAAAGACUAGGCCAUGAUUUAAAUGGUCAGCUUUCUAGGAAUCCC